GAACCGUGCGAACGUUGUUCGGAUUCACUGGGCUUAAAGGGCGCGUAGGCGGGCCGUCAAGUCGGGCGUGAAAUCCCCCAGCUCAACUGGGGAACCGCACCCGAGACUGGGGGCCUCGAGGGGGGUAGGGGCGGCCGGAACUUCCGGUGGAGCGGUGAAAUGCGUAGAUAUCGGAAGGAACGCCGGUGGCGAAAGCGGGCCGCUGGACCCCUCCUGACGCUGAGGCGCGAAAGCCAGGGGAGCAAACGGGAUUAGAUACCCCGGUAGUCCUGGCCCUAAACGAUGGGUACUAGGUAGUGGGCUUGCAUGGGCUCACUGCCGGAGCCAAAGUGCUAAGUACCCCGCCUGGGGAGUAUGGUCGCAAGGCUGAA
rnacentral:rRNA from 1 species